rnacentral:rRNA from 1 species
UACCAGCACCCCCGAGUGGUCGGGACGAUUAUUGGGCCUAAAGCAUCCGUAGCCGGUUCUGCAAGUCCUCCGUUAAAUCCAGCUGCUCAACAGAUGGGCCGCGGAGGAUACUACAGAGCUAGGAGGCAGGAGAGGCAAGCGGUACUCAGUGGGUAGGGGUAAAAUCCGUUGAUCCAUUGAAGACCACCAGUGGCGAAGGCGGCUUGCCAGAAUGCGCUCGACGGUGAGGGAUGAAAGCUGGGGGGAGCAAACCGG